rnacentral:rRNA from 1 species
AUUGAACGCUGGCGGCAUGCCUUACACAUGCAAGUCGAACGGUAACGGGCCUUCGGGUGCCGACGAGUGGCGAACGGGUGAGUAAUACAUCGGAACGUGCCCGAUCGUGGGGGAUAACGAGGCGAAAGCUUUGCUAAUACCGCAUACGAUCUACGGAUGACAGCAGGGGACCGCAAGGCCUUGCGCGGACGGAGCGGCCGAUGGCAGAUUAGGUAGUUGGUGGGAUAAAAGCUUACCAAGCCGACGAUCUGUAGCUGGUCUGAGAGGAUGAUCAGCCACACUGGGACUGAGACACGGCCCAGACUCCUACGGGAGGCAGCAGUGGGGAAUUUUGGACAAUGGGCGCAAGCCUGAUCCAGCCAUGCCGCGUGCAGGAUGAAGGCCUUCGGGUUGUAAACUGCUUUUGUACGGAACGAAAAGCCUUCUUUUAAUACAGGAGGGUCAUGACGGUACCGGAAGAAUAAGCACCGGCUAACUACGUG